UUGCAUGAAUGUUCACGGAUGCGCAUCCCUGGCGCAUAGUGACGCGCUUCAGCGCAGCCUUAUGAGAGAACGGAAUAGCGCUCAGUUAUGUGCGGCUCUGAUCGAGACGGAGAGAUAAGUGCGUGACAGGGAUUGUGUUGCGAAGAGAUUUCCUGCUGUUUGCAUAGUUUCUGUGCUUUAUUGUGUGCGUCAGUGCCGAAUAGUAAGUUUUCUUAUUUGUCUUUAAAUUAGUAGCAAAGAUUAUCGCGUCUUUUAUGUUAUAUUGUCAGUUAUCAUUCAUAUGUAAAUGAAGCUGUUAGAGAGCGCGAAUCUUCUCAUUAAUCGUCAUGGUAUCCAGUUGAUAUUUGUGUUAGUUUACCUUGUACAUAUUUAUUCAGUAUUAUUUCUUUAUAUUUGAGAUUGUAUAGUUUUAAUACUUAUUCGGUUAUUUAACAAUUCUACUUUACUGUAUAUUCAAUGUUAUCUGAUACAUGUGCAUUAUUGCUAGUCACGUUUUAGAACAUGUGACGCCAUUUCACGGUGUCUUGUAUACUUUUGCAGAUUUAAACUUAAUUACAGCUGUUAAUGCUGGUUAUUCAAACAAAUGUAUAAUAAUGUUCUUUUAUAAUGCUUUUAUUCUUGUUUAUUAUUUGUUGUUGCAGAACCACACAAACACAGAUAUAAGUGCAUAUUAAUCGAAGGUCCAUGCCUACUGCAACUGUGAAUUAAACACCCAGAAUCUAAUUAUUCGUCUGGUUCUUGUGUUUUGGCCGACACCCGGGAGUGAUUACCACAUAACAAUAGGCCCAGCAAUAUAUUAAAAUACAGUCCUUUUAAGUCUCUUCAAUAUUGUGGUCCUUCGAGCCGGAUGGGUGGUAUUCUCUCUCAAAAAGAUGGAAGAUAGAGCUUCAACCAGACCUAAGCGGCGGACUUACCCACCACGGCAUUAUGAGGCAUACGAGAUGGGGUACGUGCUUCCACAAAGACAAUCUUCUGAAUCAAGGAUCAGUAGGCAUGGGCUGGAAGAUGAUUUAUAUUCUCAUAAGGAGGCAGCUGCUGAGAUAACCCGCUUUCCCGGUCAUCAACCGUUAAUAGAUGUUAGUUAUGAAGAGGAGGACACGUAUGCUGAAACGAAACAGAGUAAAUACAGACCUGUUCCUAAGAGUCAGCUAUAUGAUCAGUGCCCAGAAGUGAUACCUACCGAGAGAAGUAGAGAUUUCACUCCACAAAUAUGGUCUACAACAGAGCGACGUUUACCUCCAGCCAUACAUACAGACCUUAUGGGAAGCAAAGAAGAUGAUUUGAGUGCUGCCUUAACAGAGCUCAGAGAGGCUAGAUCGGAGUUGAAGUUACUCACUGAGACAUUGCGCAGCCUUAAGCAGACCACUCCACCAGAUACAACACGCUAUACGUCCAGUGCAUAUGACUCGCGUGCGCCUGUUCAAUUUUCUAUAUCUCCUUUAGAUUAUGGAUGUGUUCCUCCUCCAAGUGCAGAAUUCAUCAGCGGUGAAGAAGCUGGUGAAGAAGAUGAGGUAGACUGGCCCGACCCUCCUCCAUGGCCAGAUCAAGAGGGUUCAGAGACACGGCCACAGCCCACAGAACCCGUUGUUACUAUCUUAGAGAGGAUGAUGAGUGAACUGGAAGUCUUAAAGCAAGCUGCCAACUGCCAGAAAAGACCGACCACAGCCCUACCAGACAGCCAUCCUGUUAGAGACUCCUAUGCAGGCAGGGUGCUUCUGGGUCAUUCGAGUCAACAACGAAGUCUUUAUCCUCAGACUCCUCUCAGACCUAGUUCAGUGCAUAACUCGGAGCAGUAUGAGAGUUUCCUCCAAGGUGUGCAUGCAACCACAUCACAGCCAUAUCUACCGAGGGCCCAUCCUAGAACCUCAACUGAUAUUCGACAUCAGAUUGCUUCACCAUCUGAAUCAACAUACAGAGGUCCAAUGCCGACGAUCCCAUAUUUCAGUAGGAGAGACCCCAGCGAGUUUGCUAGAUUAAAGAUAUCAUUGUGCAACUUACUACCCUCAAAUGGAACAGAGCUGUUUAAAUACCAAAUACUAGUGGAUCACCUGAAAUUGGAAGAGGCAAGGCUAAUAGCAGAUUCAUACCUGAACUCUCCCACACCUUACAGUGACACAAUGGCAGCUCUGAAUCAGAAGUUUGGCCAGCCCCAUCAGAUGGUAUUGAACAAAAUAGCCAGUGUUAUGGAUUCACCUGACAUACGACGGGGUGAUCAAGCUGCCUUUGAGAAGUUCGCCCUGCAGAUUCAGGCUCUAGUGGGCAUGCUUAAAUCCCUCGGCCCCACAGGAGAGAUAGAGCUACAGUGUGGAUCUCACGUGGCACGUUUACUGAGCAAGUUACCGACAGAGAUGAGAGCCGAGUUUAGACGCAGCAAGCUCCAUCUUCCAGGAACCACCUACACGCUUAGUGAUCUGUCCGACUGGUUGCAAUAUGAGUCAUGGUGCCAGGAAUACGAUGGUUCAUCACAAGGUAGGAUCACCAAGGAGAAACAGGGGACUAGGAAUGAGCCUCGCCAGAAGAGGUGGACUGCUACUGUGUUACAUGGAUCCCGAGAGGCUAUGGUUACUGAAGUAUCCCCAGCUCGUGUGAAUCCCACCUCAAAGAAUACCGUUAAGACAUACUGUCCCUUCUGCACUAACUCGGACCACUUCUUAAGCCAAUGCACAGAGGUUGUAAAACUGAACAGAGACCAGUUAUCAGAGUGGAUCCGUACCAAUAGAAGAUGCUGGCGAUGUGCUAGAGCUCACCUUUCUUCACAGUGCAACCUGCGGAAGCCCUGCAGCAUUUGUCAAGGCAAACACUUGUCAGUUCUGCACGAGGUGAACUACAGGACACCUAAGGCGGAGGUCAAGUCAACUAAGGAAGAAAGUUGUCUGGUGAAUACACCCUCUGAAGUGCUGUAUGUGGACAGACCAGUAGAUGGCAGCCGUGUGCUAUUAAAGGUUAUCAAAGUCCUGCUCCGCCAUGGUAAGCGCACUCUGGACACAUAUGCCAUCUUAGACGAUGGAUCAGAACGGACAAUGCUCUUACCCGCCGCGGCACGCUACUUGGGCCUCCAAGGGGAGCCAGAAGACCUUGCUCUGCGGACUAUAAGACAGGACAUUCAAGUUCUUAAUGGAUCCAUGGUAUCAUUUCGCAUUUCCUCAGCUGAUAAGCCCCAACACAGCUUCCUUAUUACUGGUGCCUUUACAGCAGAACGGCUUGGUCUUGCACUUCACUCAUACCCCAUUGACAAGCUACAGAGAAAGUACAAGCACCUCGUAGGUCUCCCAAUACAAGGAUUCGAGCAGGCACAGCCCUUACUCCUCAUUGGAGCGGACCAUCCUCACUUAAUUACUCCCAUUAAGCCAGUAAGGUUGGGACCACCAGGGGGACCGGCAGCCCUUAAGACACGAUUAGGAUGGACAUUACAGGGCCCCACUAGAUUGGUUGAGCAGUCCAUUCACGCACAACAGUGUUUAUUGACCUUUACCAUUCCCCAAGUAUCUGAGCUCUUCAGAAAUGUAGAGAAACUGUGGCAAGUAGAUGUCCUUCCCUUAAGAAAUGAGAAAGAGGUCACAAGGUCUCGUCAAGACCAGGAGGCUCUUCAUAUACUGGAAACAAAGACCACCCGAGUUGAAGUGGAUGGAGUCUUACGAUACGCCACCCCCCUGCUUAGGCGCAAAGACAUACCACGUUUCGAAGCUCCAAAGGAAAUGGUAAUGCCCAGUCUCCGAAACACUGAACGGUCCCUCUCUAAAGACCCUGAGCGAGCCAAGGCGUACAACGCUGAGAUCCAGAAAUUGGUACAGGCAGGAACGGUGAAGAAAUUGAGUCCUCAGGUGGUGACACAGCCGGGUGAAUCGUGGUAUAUACCCCACCACAUGGUGACUCACAACAAUAAGAACCGGAUUGUGUUCAAUUGUUCUUAUCGGUACCGAGGUCUGAACCUGAAUGAGUGGCUGUUACCUGGACCCACUUUGGGACCCUCACUACUAGGAGUGCUGUUACGGUUCAGAGAACACGCUGUGGCCAUAAGUGGUGACGUGAAAGCCAUGUUUCACCAGGUCCGUCUGCUCUCUGAGGAUCGUUCUCUUCUGAGAUUUGUCUGGCGAGACAUGGAAGUAGACCGAACUCCAUCAGUCUUUGAGUGGCAGGUCCUGCCAUUCGGUACUACAUGUAGUCCGUGCUGUGCUACCUAUGCCAUGCAGCACCAUGUUAUCAGUCACAGCCAGCCAGAAGACAAUGUGAGGUUUUCCAUCGAGAGAUGCUUUUACGUUGAUAAUUGUCUGCAAAGCCUCUCCUCACCUGACCAAGCUAAAACACUGGUAGAUAAGUUAAGGAAGACUCUAGCCUCUGGUGGGUUUGAACUACGUCAGUGGGCCAGCAAUAGGCCAGAGGUCAUCAACCAUCUGCCCGAAGAAGCCCGAUCAGAAAAUUUGGAACUCUGGCUCUCUCACAAUCGAGAAGAUAAUGCUGAAUCCGCCCUGGGCCUUAGCUGGCACUGUUCAACGGACACCAUGAGGUACAAACAUCGUCCAGUGAAGUAUGAUACUCCUACCAUGAGGAACAUCUACAAGGUAUUGGCCAGCCAAUACGACCCCCUCGGCUUUAUCCUGCCCUACACUACCCGUGCCAAAAUACUGGUAAGACAGCUGUGGGACAAGCAUCGAGAUUGGGACGAUCCUCUACUUCCUCAUGAUCUCUUACAAGCCUGGAGAGACUGGGAGGCAGAGUUACAAGUUCUGCCAAGAAUCACUUUCCCCCGAGCAUACUUACCUCCUGCCAUGGAUGAGAAAAGCUGUACUCGUGAUAUGCAUGUGUUCUGCGAUGCUUCGGAGCAAGCAUAUGGAGCUGUCGUUUACCUAAGAACAACAGACAGUCAAGGUCAGCCUUACCUCUCCUUUGUUGCAGCUCGGUCCAGAAUUGCACCUAAACGACUGCUCUCAAUACCCAGAUUAGAGCUCUGUGCUGCCCACACAGGAGCUCAACUUACCAGAUUGCUUAAACAGGAGUUAACUCUGCCAAUCAGCAAGACUAUUCUAUGGACAGACUCAACCACUGUCCUGUCCUGGUUACAUUCUGAGUCAUGUCGUUUUAAGGUGUUCGUUGGCACACGGGUGGCUGAGAUUCAGGAGCUCACUGAUCGUUUUGCGUGGCGAUAUGUUGACUCAGCGAACAAUCCUGCUGAUGAUCUUACUAGAGGUAAGAAGUUAAAGGAGCUGGUUGGGGGUAAUCGGUGGAGUCAUGGACCACCCUUUCUUCUGCAAAGCCCCGACAACUGGCCAACCUUACCAUCACAAGCAGCAGACGAGUGUCAUUCGGAACUUAGAAAGUCUGUAUUCUGCGGAGUCACGACAAUCAUACCGGAUAAUGACCCACAUAUCCCGGAUGCACUGCAGUACACUACCUGGAGGGAGCUAGUAGAGGCAACUGUGCAGAUGCUUAAUGGGGCGGCAAGUCAGAGCAAGACACCUAACGCUGACGACUACCGUAAUGCUGAGAUUCUCAUUCUGAAAGGGGCACAACAAAAUAGCUUUCCAGAGGAGCUUAAACUCCUACAGAAUGAGAAACCAGUUCAACGAAGCAGUCGUUUACUCAAAUUGUCUCCAGAACUGGACAAGGUGACGGGACUCAUUAGGGUAGGUGGUAGAUUACGCCAGGCUGAAGAUUUAGACCUGUCCACUGUGCAUCCCGUCAUAUUGGAUCAGCGUCAUCCCACCACUAAGCUACUGAUUAAAGAUUAUGAUUCUCAACUCUGCCACCCCGGGCCUGAGAGAGUGUUUGCGGAGAUCCGCCGUAAAUUUUGGAUCUUACGAGGUAGAGAAGCAAUUCGCCGAUACCAACAUACCUGCUCAGAUUGUCGGCGAUGGAAAGCAAGCCCUCAGGUCCCUAAGAUGGCAGACCUACCUAGAGCACGCCUGCGCCUCUAUAAUCCAGCAUUCUAUUCAACCGGGAUGGACUGUUUCGGGCACUUUCAAGUAAAAGUGGGCAGGCGUACAGAAAAAAGGUGGGGAAUCAUUUUCAAAUGUCUCACGACCAGAUGCGUGCAUCUGGAGAUCCUCACUAACCUGGAUACUGAUUCCUUCUUAAUGGCCUUGAGAAGGUUCAUUGCCAGACGAGGAACACCAGCCCAGUUGUUUUCCGACCAAGGAACAAAUUUCCGUGGAGGAGAAAGGGAGAUACGAGAAGCCUUUGCAGCCUUGUCACCAGACCUCCAACUUCAACUGGCCAAGCAGAAAAUUGAGUUUCACUUCAACCCACCUAGUGCACCCCACUUUGGCGGGGUUUGGGAAAGGGAAAUCCGUUCAGUGAAGACUGCUCUGUACAGGAUUGUAGGUACUCAAGCGGUUACAGAAGAAGUGCUACAUACUGUUCUUCUGGAAGUUGAGGGUAUGUUGAAUUCCAAGCCACUGGGAUAUGUAUCCUCAGACCCUAGUGAUCUUGAUCCAGUGACACCCAAUGUUCUUUUGAUGGGGCGGCGGGAUGGAUCCCUUCCCCAGGUGGUUUACCCUAAAUCCGAACUCCUGAGCAGACGCCGCUGGAGGCAUUCCCAGAUUUUAGCAGACCAGUUCUGGUCUAGUUUCAUUAAGAACUAUCUCCCGAGCAUGCAGUCCCGCCAGAAAUGGCAUGCCACCCCUGAAGAUAUUUGCCCAGGAUCAGUGGUACUGAUGAUGGAUUCUCAAUUGCCCAGAGCAUGCUGGCCUAUUGGUCAGGUCACCAAAGUUUACCCCAGUGCUGAUGGAUAUGUAAGAACAGUGGAAGUAAUGAUCAACAAGAAACUCUAUAUUAGACCUGUAGCCAAGCUAAUUGUUCUCAAAGAGAUUCCAGAUGAAGCAGAGAACUAAGCUCCUUACUAGUCCCCAGUACUGGACUAAGUUUUAGUCAGGAGCAAAUGUGUUAAACACAUUUGGGGGCGGCUGUAAGAAAGGUUGCAUGAAUGUUCACGGAUGCGCAUCCCUGGCGCAUAGUGACGCGCUUCAGCGCAGCCUUAUGAGAGAACGGAAUAGCGCUCAGUUAUGUGCGGCUCUGAUCGAGACGGAGAGAUAAGUGCGUGACAGGGAUUGUGUUGCGAAGAGAUUUCCUGCUGUUUGCAUAGUUUCUGUGCUUUAUUGUGUGCGUCAGUGCCGAAUAAACCACACAAACACAGAUAUAAGUGCAUAUUAAUCGAAGGUCCAUGCCUACUGCAACUGUGAAUUAAACACCCAGAAUCUAA